AAUCCUUCCCAAUCCAGCCGCCGCACUCAACCUGUUUCCCUUCCUCCUUCCAUUCACACAAACGCAACACAAUCAGAAGCAGCAGCAACACUGCAAUGAGAAAAAAGAGAAGCUGAAAGGGAGGUCUGAGAGACGAAGGGCUUAGAGGGGAGGGAGACGCCGUCCUCCCUGUCGCCGGAACCGCGAGGAGCGUCGCCGCCAAAGACGUGUCGUCGUUUCUGCCCAGUCGUGGUUCUGCCAUCCAUCACCUCGUUCCGUCACCUGAAGCGAAUCGCAACGACGAGAGGGAGAGCUCGUGCGCGAAGGGAGCGCGAGAAGGAAGGAAGGUCACGCGAACCACAGCGCGGAGCCGCGCUGCUGUGCGCUGUCGCCGUUGCGUCGGACUGCUGCCGCCGUCGAGCUUCGAGGAGAGAGAAGGAGGUUGCGUGGAAGAUGAGGCGCGAUGGUGGUAAGAGGUUCUGCCACCCCUCUGCUGUUGCUGAGCUGCCGCCGCCGCUAUGAAGGCUCCGCCACUGCCUUGUUGCUGCUGGGGAGAAGGAGACCAGAAUGGGUAAGUAGGAGGGGUUUCUGCCACCGUUGGAGCUCAGUUGCCGUUGUUGUCAUGGCCGCCGCGCCUUUGGCUGCUGGGAGCAGUAUCGUGGCCGCCAGAACCAGUCUUUCUUGGGUUGAGUCCCGGUAUUUGUGCGUCGGAAUUAAAGAUGCUGUUGGGCCACCGGAGCUUCUGGCCGCUCACGGAUCUUUUGUCGGGCAAUUCGAAGUCGUAGCUGCUUCGCUUGUUAGUAUAGUUUGAGUUCCGGUGAUUUCGUGUCGCAUAAGUGUUGCGGAGGCUGCCGUGUCAUUCCUUUUAUUUCAGUAAGUGUUUUAUCUCGGAGAUCCUCGCCAUUUGUUUUCAGUCAUGAGUUUUAAGAUUUCCGCGAUAUUGAUGUGUUAGGAAGUAGUAGCUGAGCUUAUAUGUGGCGCUGAGGCUGUUUCUUAUAUUGAGAAAAACACGCGGAGCCGGGAUUUUGAUUGUGAUUUCGAGCUGAGGCGAAAAGGACUCUGAGAGACGUUUGGGUUAUGGAAUUUGCGUUUUGAGGACAUGGGCACAGAAGUUAUGAAGAUUUUAUUUAGUUAUUGUUGAGAUGCUCUGUCUUGUUUUAGUUAUGGUUUAUUGAACCCUCGCCAUUAUCUUGAUAUAUUCUGUAAGAGGGAUAGGAAUUGUAUUGG